rnacentral:rRNA from 1 species
UACGGAGGGUGCGAGCGUUGUCCGGAAUCACUGGGCGUAAAGGGCGCGUAGGCGGCCUGAUAAGUAGGGGGUGAAAUCCUGCGGCUUAACCGCAGGGCUGCCUUCUAAACUGUCGGGCUAGAGCACGGUAGAGGCAGAUGGAAUUCCCGGUGUAGCGGUGGAAUGCGUAGAGAUCGGGAAGAACAUCAGUGGCGAAGGCGGUCUGCUGGGCCGUUGCUGACGCUGAGGCGCGACAGCGUGGGAGGCAAACAGG